UCAAGUUGCAAAAAGAUAGUCUCAGAGACAGCAGUAACACCUUCUGGCUAUAGUCUAUUUUCAUCUUUCUCAUCCUAGUGUUAUCAAGAGAAAAACAGUCUUAGAUGCAACAUAAAAAUUUCAGAGACAGAAGAAAUCUUCCUUUGAGGGCAGUGAUACACUUAUGUGAGAUUUUGAAAAGUGAAAAAUCAAAGGUGGAAUUGACCAGUAGAUGUAAAAGUACAACAAAUAAACAAAAAUGGCAAUGUUGAAAGUGAAACUGAAAUUCAACAGAAAUAAAAGAAAUAGCAGACUGGGGGGAUAUUGACUUUGACACCAUGAUGCCAGAGGAACUUAGUGAUGGCAAACUUAUCAAUAUAAAAUGAGGAUAUUGGUUGUCAACUAGGUUGUGUGGUGGUCCUUGAUCUUGUCCAUCAAGUCCUUUUUCCCAAAGGAUAACUGAAGAAGAUCACAUACAUUCCAACUUAUUGAGUCUGAUAGGUAUUCAUCUGAUGAGCUCCUCUUCAACUGAGGAUUGAAAUGCUGUUUUUCUUCCCUGGUACAAUGUUAAAGCUUUAAACUCUUGUCAAUGAUGUGAUGUUUCAUCUGCAAUGAUCUACACUAGAAAAAUAAAAAUGUAGUUACUGACAAAAAAGCAGGAACUACUGCUCUAAGGAAAAAAGGACAGCUACAUGAGGACCACACAACUCCUGGAAGAGGUUUCCCUGGCAACACAACUUUUCCAUUCAUCUGGUUGCAGUGUUUUCAUCCAGUAGCCUGUCACCUCACUCAAAAGCAGGGCAAUGGAGAGAAAGAAACUUACCAAGUUUUUUCUUUUAACUAGAGAGUAGCCUACUUAUUGGGCCCUGCAAUUAAUUUCAGUACUCCAGGCAGAUUUAUAAAGGAAGCUGCUGGAAGGAAUUCAUUCCCUUUUUGCUGUUCUGCCUUCCACCUUCCACUGUGUGAGGACACUGCAAGAAAGCCCUCAUCAGACACCAACUGCCAGCACCUAGAUCUUGGAAUUCUCAGCCUCCAGAACUGUGAGAAACACGUUUCUGUUUUUCUAUAAAAUAAUAAUAAUAAAAAACUUCCAUGCAGGAAAAAAAAUCAAGUUCAAAGGUCCUGUGGUGAGGGCAUACCAGCUUUGUUUGAGAAGCAGUAAUCAUGCCUGUGUGACUGUAAUGAAAGAAUAAAAGAGAAAUGAGCACAGAAGAAUAUAAUGUAGUCCUUUUCAUUUUAAGCAAGAAAUUUGGCUUCAAUUCUAAAUGUGAUAAGAAAAAAACAGAAGGUUCCAAACUGAGAAGUGACAUAAUAUGAAAUGUUUUAACAGAAUCACCUUGUUACCAUAUUGCAAAUAAAAUGAAAGUGCAUCAAGGGCAGAAGUAGGAAGGCAAGUUAUGAGGUCAUUUUGAUAAUCCAGAGGAGCUGGGAUGAUGACUUACAGCAGUAUAGUAGCAAGGGUUGGGUGAGAACGUGGAAUCCUGGGUAUAUAUUAAAGUUUCAGCAAAAAGGAUUUAUAGAUGAAACAGAUAUGGGUUAUGAGAAAGAGUCAAGUUAAAGAUUAUAUCAAAAUUUUUUAUCUGAACAACUGGUAGUAUUGUGGUGAAUCCUUACCCCAUCAAUUUACGUGACCGAUAACUGAGUGGGAACAUUAAGGAAGGGAUGGUUUGAGUGAGAAUCAGGAUCUCAGUUUGGAAAUAUUAAGUUGAAUAUGCCUAUUUAAUAAUCAAAUGAAAAAUAGUAUUUUUGUAAUUUUCAGUAUUUAUUUGGCAAGAGAUUAAAUAAUCUAUAGCAUUGUUACUACUUUCUCUUUUUCAUAAAAGUUAUUUUGGUAUAAAAUCAACCUGACUGGGAACUAUCCAAAUAUAUAAGCCUUUAGCUUUGACCUAUUACUUAUAUUUUUUUGCCAUUAAUAAUAUGAACAUCCACUAAACAAGAACUUGAGACUAUAACUCUUCUCUAUUAAAUCUUCAUAUUAAAUUAGCCAUUUAAAUAGGAUUAUUAUUUUCAUUUAUUGCUGAAUACUUUCCAUUACAUUCAAACUUAUUGAGACAUCCUUAAAUUUUGUAAUUUAUUUAACGGAUUAAUUCCUUAGCUUCUAAACUGGUUUUCUGUACGGCAACCCUAUUUUCUUCUUAAUAACUCAUCAUCUACAUCCCCCAAUGUCUUAUUUUUCCAAAACAAAAGUGCACUAAUGCCCUUCUAGGGCAAAAAUUUCUUUAAUGGCUUUCUAUUGUUAUAGAUAAAGUUCAAACUUAUUAUGACGGCCUAUAAUUUUGGGGAAAAAACUCACCUAAAAACAGUUUUUAAAAGAUUAGAAUUCAAAUGCUUGAAAUUUCAGUUAUUUUAUGAGCUUUCUAUUCAAACAUUUCAGGGAGCUAAGACAUUACAUACUACACUACUACUACUACUACAAAUAAUAAUAAUAACAACAAUUAUAGUUACUCAUCUCAGUUUUGGCAGAGGAUACCAUUUAUAUAAAGAAUGUAAUUUGAUUGUAGCUAUUAAAAUAGUUACUAGACAAGAACUAGGAUGAUGGUAACAUUGACUUUUUAUCUGAAUCCUGGCUAUAUGUUUUCUGUUUGAAAAAAAAGUCAUUAAGUAUAAAAUUAUAAUUUUUAUAAUUUUGGAAUACAUAUUAUAAUAACACAUUUUUUUUAAACUGAGAAUUUAAGAUUUAAAAAGUACAGUAGGGGAAAGAAAAGGAAAAUAUAUUUUCUAUGUGCUUGUUUUAAUAAAUAAUGCCACCGAGGAUGUAAGUUUUCAAUGUCUAAUUAUUAAAUCAGCAUUACUUUCAUUAUUUUAACAACCUUCAUGGGGUUCUUAUAUUGAGACUCAAAUUAAAUAUGUAAUAUUAAUCCUAAUAUAGCUAUUUUUUCCUAACAAGAGCAUAAAACUUCCAAAAUUUCAUUCUGCAUAUUUAUAACUGAAUUUAUGACUGACAUAUUUCUUUUUCAAAUCAUGUCCAUCAUUAUAUGAACGGGUACUGAAUUUAUCCAUAUUUACUUACGUCUUUCUUCAGCCCCUCUGUCAACCCACUUAUCUUUUUGAUAGCUCAGUGAGCUGGCACUAGUUUUGUACCUCAGGAUGUUUACUCUGGCUAAUUUUGCCACUGAUCUUCUAAUGUCUGGUGCUUGGCAAUAAAGUCCCAGUUGGAGUUUUCAACCAACAGCAGUUUGCAUUCAGUUACUUAAUCUCUGUUUUGCAAUCUUAGUACCUUCCUUUCUGAUUGAAUGAAGACAGUUGCUCCUAGGGAUACCUGAACCUGAAAUGAACUGAAAAUAUUUUAUAGCUUUUCAAUUUGCCAGGCAGUAGAAGAAAAAUUCAUACCAAUCCCAUUGCUACAAACAGCUGUUACUAUAAGGUGAUAUUGCUAUGGAAUCCUAAAAUAGAACAAGGCAAAUACCAUCCCUGUGAGGGUUCUACUAUAUUUUGUGGAUCUCCAGCUGGAAACUUAAUUGUAAUAUAAACUGAGCAUACAGAAACAGCUUUCCUGCUUCUAUUCAGCAUACUUUCACUGAAUUGGAUAAUUUAAUCAAUAAGUUACAACACUCUUUAGUGUGAAGCUGCAUAAAAUUCUAGAAGGAGAGAAAAUUUGAUCUUUGAUUUCUAUUAUCUUUAUCUUCCUGCAUUAUAUUCUUCCAUGACUUUAGCUAAUACCUCUCCCCAUCACAAUAAAGUCUUUAAACACUUAGAAUCUAUUUUCUGUUUCUUGUGUCCAUAUCCUAUAACCAAAGACCACCAGGAACACCCCUGAGUUUAUUCUUGUUUACAGCAAUAAAUACUUCACACAAUGGGGAAAUGUGAAGUUAUCUCAGUAAGAGAGUAUUAAAAGAACCUAUUGUAUCAUUUGGGAUUUGGUUAUUUGGGGAAGAAAUUAAGGAAGCAAGACUGCCCUGGAUUGUCUGUUACCAGGAAGUGGGAGCAAUUUUAUGAUUAGGUAUGUCACCAAAUCUUAUCUAUAUGGAUGACAUACUAGAGUGAGGCUAAUGUAAUUGAGGAUAAGGUAACUGCUAAAGAAACAACAGUCACUUGUAUCUGGUAUGUUGUGAUUUGGACAACGUUCCUGUUUUGUUUAUGCUCAGAUAAAAUUAAGGAUUGUUGUUGUUUUUGUCAUUGUCCAUCA
rnacentral:lncRNA from 1 species